UUGCUAUUUGCCUUUGGUAGUAAGUUGCUUAGAUCUUUAGUUAUACAUGAAAUUGAAAGAAUAGAGGGAGUACCCCAUGAAGUUGUUGCAGGUUUUAAUAGUCUAGAGGCAUUUUAGAAAUUUGGGAAGUCAGUGAAGUUUGUUUUCGGCUUAUAAUGGAUAGUUGUGACCCCGUCUUCAGUAUUUGAAAUUGUAGUUAUUAUGGGAACAUAGACUCAGUAAUUGAUUGUUAGGAGGGAUUAAUAAGGUGCCAGCAUUCGCGGUUAAACCUUGCCUUCGGGGCAACUAGUUUGUAGGAAAGUAAAUGAUAAUAAUAAGAUAAAAUCGACUAAGUCAACCCGAAAGGGAAAAGAUGGUUAAAUAUUUUUGAUUAGGUUAAUUUAAGUUCUUUUAAACUAAAACCUUAGAAGGCUGUUAAUGAGACAAGGAUUCGAUACCCUUUUAUUAAAGCUGUAAUGUUUAUCCUACGAGAAUUACGAGCUAUUAAAGCUUAAAACUCUAAAAGGUUGGCGGCAUCUUAUAACCAUUUAGGGGAACUUGGCGUUUAAACCGAUGAUCCUCGUAUACUUUACCUUUAUUUAGUUUUUCAUACCGCCGUUGAGAGUUCCUCUUGAAAAGAAUAGAUUGGUGCGUCAAACAAUAACGAUGAGGUCUGAUUAUUUCAGGUUGUCGGCCUAUAGUAAGCGAGGUUUGUUUAUAUUAGGGUUUGUUAUAAUUCAGGUAGACGUGAAGAAAUAUAGAGGGAUUAGCUGAGUUACAUUUGUUUUACAUAUUGGAUGCAACUAGAAUAGUUAGCUGAAAGUGUACUUGUUAGUAAUCUUUUUUAAUGGAGGAAAGUUGAAUUGGGUAAUUAAGUUGCGUACAAACCGCCCGGCACCCUCAAGUAAGGUUGAGGUAAGUCGUAACAUGGUAAUGCUACUAGAAAGUGGUGUUG
rnacentral:ncRNA from 1 species